GGGCCGAUAGCUCAAUUGGCUAGAGCGUCGCAAUGGCAUUGCGAAGGUUGUGGGUUCAAAUCCCAUUCGGUCCACCA
rnacentral:tRNA from 6 species